rfam:Trichobilharzia regenti genome assembly, scaffold: TRE_scaffold0017563
GUACUGCUGAAGAGUCUCAAACUAGGACGAAACAGUUGUCCAGUAC